rnacentral:rRNA from 1 species
AGAGUUUGAUCAUGGCUCAGGACGAACGCUGGCGGCGCGCUUAACACAUGCAAGUCGAGCGAUAACCAUGGCUUCGGCCAUGGGGAGAGCGGCGAACAGGUGAGUAACACGUGAGCGAUCUGCCCUCGACACUGGGAUAGCCCGGGGAAACCCGGAUUAAUACCGGAUAGCCUCUCGGGCCCACGGGCUCGUGAGAAAAGAUGGCUUCGGCUUUCGGUUGAGGAGGAGCUUGCGGCGGAUUAGCUUGUUGGUGGGGUAACGGCUCACCAAGGCGACGAUCCGUAGCCGGUCUGAGAGGACGAUCAGCCACACUGGGACUGAGACACGGCCCAGACUCCUACGGGAGGCAGCAGUGGGGAAUCUUGCGCAAUGGGCGAAAGCCUGACGCAGCGACGCCGCGUGAGGGAAGAAGGCCUUCGGGUUGUAAACCUCUUUCAGGAGGGACGAAGCUACUCGGGUUAAUAGCCCAGAGGGUGACGGUACCUCCAGAAGAAGCCCCGGCUAACUACGUGCCAGCCGCCGCGGUAAUUC